rnacentral:rRNA from 1 species
AUUGAACGCUGGCGGCAUGCCUUACACAUGCAAGUCGAACGGCAGCACGGGUGCUUGCACCUGGUGGCGAGUGGCGAACGGGUGAGUAAUACAUCGGAACGUACCUUAUCGUGGGGGAUAACGCAGCGAAAGCUGUGCUAAUACCGCAUACGCCCUGAGGGGGAAAGCGGGGGACCGAAAGACCUCGCGCGAUUAGAGCGGCCGAUGCCUGAUUAGCUUGUUGGUGGGAUAAAAGCACACCAAGGCGACGAUCAGUAGCUGGUCUGAGAGGACGAUCAGCCACACUGGACUGAGACACGGCCCAGACUCCUACGGGAGGCAGCAGUGGGGAAUUUUGGACAAUGGGGGCAACCCUGAUCCAGCAAUGCCGCGUGAGUGAAGAAGGCCUUCGGGUUGUAAAGCUCUUUUGUCAGGGAAGAAACACCGGCUCUAACACAGUCCGGGAAUGACGGUACCUGAAGAAUAAGCACCGGCUAACUACGUGCCAGCAGCCGCAGUAA